AAAUGAAUAGACGGGGGCCCGCACAAGCAGUGGAGUAUGCGGAUUAAUUCGAUGCAACGCGAAGAACCUUACCAGGUCUUGACAUCUAACUAACGAAGUAGAGAUACAUUAGGUGCCCUUCGGGGAAAGUUAAGACAGGUGGUGCAUGGUUGUCGUCAGCUCGUGUCGUGAGAUGUUGGGUUAAGUCCCGCAACGAGCGCAACCCUUGUUUUUAGUUGCUACGCAAGAGCACUCUAAAGAGACUGCCGUUGACAAAACGGAGGAAGGUGGGGACGACGUCAAAUCAUCAUGCCCCUUAUGACCUGGGCUUCACGCGUACUACAAUGGUCGUCAACAGAGGGAAGCAAAGCAGUGAUGCAGAGCAAAACCCUAAAAACGAUCUCAGUUCAGAUUGUAGGCUGCAACUCGCCUACAUGAAGUUGGAAUUGCUAGUAAUCGCGGAUCAGCAUGCCGCGGUGAAUACGUUCCCGGGCCUUGUACACACCGCCCGU
rnacentral:rRNA from 1 species